UUAAGUCUUGACGAGUAAGAGGGUCGCGACGGUGAGCGCAGAAGGGUCAGGGCGAGAGCCUGCCUGGAGCCGCCGUUGGUGCAGAUCUUGGUGGUAGUAGCAAAUACUCUAGCGAGGGCCUGGAGGACUGACGUGGAGAAGGGUUUCUUGUGAACAGCCGUUGCACAAGAGUCAGUCGACCCUGAGCCCUAGGAGAAAUCCGAUGACGAUGGGUGGCUUGACAAUAUAUGCGCGCACACACAUUGAUUGAACACACGUGUUCUCUGUGUGACACACAUAAUAUCAUAGACCACAGACUGUGUCUGUCGUUUGAGUUAUGCACAACGUGCUGCUUGCGACUGUACAGCUCCUAUUGGGCAAAAGGGAAUCCGGUUCCUAUUCCGGAACCUGGCUGCGUAACUGCAUCUUUGCGGGCACUUGCUUGCGAGCGCUCGUCGGGGUAACCCAAACUGGCCUGGAGACGCCGGCGGGGGGUCUGGAAAGAGUUUUCUUUUCUUUAUAAGCGUUCGAGUACCCUGGAAUCCUAUAGCAGGGAGAUAGGGUUUGGAACGCGAAGAGCACCGCAGUUGCGGCGGUGUCCGGACCUUCCCCCCGGACCUUGAAAAUCCAGGUGAGGGCCACGCGGAAGUCGCGCCAG
rnacentral:rRNA from 1 species